rnacentral:rRNA from 1 species
GAGGUAGCUUGCUACUGAUCUUAGCGGCGGACGGGUGAGUAAUGCUUAGGAAUCUGCCUAUUAGUGGGGGACAACAUUUCGAAAGGAAUGCUAAUACCGCAUACGUCCUACGGGAGAAAGCAGGGGAUCUUCGGACCUUGCGCUAAUAGAUGAGCCUAAGUCGGAUUAGCUAGUUGGUGGGGUAAAGGCCUACCAAGGCGACGAUCUGUAGCGGGUCUGAGAGGAUGAUCCGCCACACUGGGACUGAGACACGGCCCAGACUCCUACGGGAGGCAGCAGUGGGGAAUAUUGGACAAUGGGCGGAAGCCUGAUCCAGCCAUGCCGCGUGUGUGAAGAAGGCCUUAUGGUUGUAAAGCACUUUAAGCGAGGAGGAGGCUACUUUAGUUAAUACCUAGAGAUAGUGGACGUUACUCGCAGAAUAAGCACCGGCUAACUCUGUGCCAGCAGCCGCGGUAAUACAGAGGGUGCAAGCGUUAAUCGGAUUUACUGGGCGUAAAGCGCGCGUAGGCGGCUAAUUAAGUCAAAUGUGAAAUCCCCGAGCUUAACUUGGGAAUUGCAUUCGAUACUGGUUAGCUAGAGUGUGGGAGAGGAUGGUAGAAUUCCAGGUGUAGCGGUGAAAUGCGUAGAGAUCUGGAGGAAUACCGAUGGCGAAGGCAGCCAUCUGGCCUAACACUGACGCUGAGGUGCGAAAGCAUGGGGAGCAAACAGGAUUAGAUACCCUGGUAGUCCAUGCCGUAAACGAUGUCUACUAGCCGUUGGGGCCUUUGAGGCUUUAGUGGCGCAGCUAACGCGAUAAGUAGACCGCCUGGGGAGUACGGUCGCAAGACUAAAACUCAAAUGAAUUGACGGGGGCCCGCACAAGCGGUGGAGCAUGUGGUUUAAUUCGAUGCAACGCGAAGAACCUUACCUGGCCUUGACAUAGUA